GAUGAAGAACGCAGCGAAAUGCGAUACUUGGUGUGAAUUGCAGAAUCCCGUGAACCAUCGAGUCUUUGAACGCAAGUUGCGCCCGAAGCCAUUAGGCCGAGGGCACGCCUGCCUGGGCGUCACACGUCGUUGCCCCCCCAUCUACUCCUUCGGGAUUGCGGGGGGCGGAUGAUGGCCUCCCGUGCGCCUCGUCGCGCGGUUGGCAUAAAUGCCAAGUCCUCGGCGACGCACGCCACGACAAUCGGUGGUUGCGAAACCUCGGUUGCCCGUCGUGUGCGGUCGUCGCGCAUCGAGGGCUCGAAAAAAUUGCCGGGCUCCGGCUCGGCUUUCAACGCGACCCCAGGUCAGGCGGGGUUACCCGCUGAAUUUAAGCAUAUCAAUAAGCGGAGG
rnacentral:misc_RNA from 1 species